GCUGAGCCGGAAUGUCCUGAACAAGGAACUCUACCAAUCAUCUCAACAAUUCAGAAGUUUAACCGACCAGUUUUUAUACUCUAGAAGUGAGUACCACGCAAUACCAUUCUAUUGGAGCACCACUUCCCAUACCCAAGAUCUCUGCCAAGGUUAUGUCGGCCACUCAAGAAAUGAUGUCAUUGGGUUAUUAACCUAGACAAGGGCUUGGUAAAGAUAAGCAGGGUAUUAAGCACCCUAUCCAAGUGUCCAGCCAAAUUGGAACAGCCGAACUAUGCUAUAUUCUGCCAGUUCCAGUCACAGGAAUCCUCAUAAGCACAAGCAGGUUCUUCAAGCUUCCACCGCACGACAAUUUUCUAUACCUUUACCUCAUGAGUUAAUACAGUCUCCAGUAAAGGUGCCAGCCCAUGUUAUGGCCAUGCUGUUUCCUAAACCAGUACCAAUCAAAGCAAAAGAGGUGCUGAUUCCUGAUCCCGAAGUGGAAGAAAAGGAACGAAAGCGUAAACAUGAC
rnacentral:lncRNA from 1 species